ACGCUGGCGGCACGCCUAACACAUGCAAGUCGAACGAAGUAGCAAUACUUAGUGGCAGACGGGUGAGUAACAUGUAGGUAUCUGCCCUUUGGCCUGGAAUAACACGAGGAAACUUGUGCUAAUACCGGAUAAGUCUUUACGGAGAAAGCUUUAUGCACCAUUGGAUGAGCCUGCACUUGAUUAGUUUGUUGGUGGGGUAAUGGCCUACCAAGACUGUGAUCAAUAGCUGAUUUGAGAGGAUGAUCAGCCACAUUGGGACUGAGACACGGCCCAAACUCCUACGGGAGGCAGCAGUGGGGAAUCUUGCACAAUGGAGGAAACUCUGAUGCAGCGAUGCCGCGUGAGUGAAGAAGGCCCUUGGGUUGUAAAGCUCUUUCGUCGGGGAAGAAAAUGACUGUACCCGAAUAAGAAGGUCCGGCUAACUUCGUGCCAGCAGCCGCGGUAAUACGAAGGGACCUAGCGUAGUUCGGAAUUACUGGGCUUAAAGAGUUCGUAGGUGGUUGAAAAAGUUAGUGGUGAAAUCCCAGAGCUUAACUCUGGAACUGCCAUUAAAACUUUUCAGCUAGAGUAUGAUAGAGGAAAGCAGAAUUUCUAGUGUAGAGGUGAAAUUCGUAGAUAUUAGAAAGAAUACCAAUUGCGAAAGGCAGCUUUCUGGAUCAUUACUGACACUGAGGAACGAAAGCAUGGGUAGCGAAGAGGAUUAGAUACCCUCGUAGUCCAUGCCGUAAACGAUGUGUGUUAGACGUUGGAAAUUUAUUUUCAGUGUCGCAGCGAAAGCGAUAAACACACCGCCUGGGGAGUACGACCGCAAGGUUAAAACUCAAAUGAAUUGACGGGGACCCGCACAAGUAGUGGAGCAUGUGGUUUAAUUCGAAGAUACGCGCAGAACCUUACCAACACUUGACAUGUUCGUCGCGACUCUAAGAGAUUAGAGUUUUCGGUUCGGCCGGACGAAACACAGGUGCUGCAUGGCUGUCGUCAGCUCGUGUCGUGAGAUGUUGGGUUAAGUCCCGCAACGAGCGCAACCCUCACUUUUAGUUGCCAUCAUUAAGUUGGGCACUCUGAAAGAACUGCCAGUGAUAAGCUGGAGGAAGGUGGGGAUGACGUCAAGUCCUCAUGGCCCUUACGUGUUGGGCUACACACGUGCUACAAUGGUAUCUACAACAGGAAGCAAGACUGCGAAGUUAAGCAAAUCCCUAAAAGAUACCUCAGUUCGGAUUGCACUCUGCAACUCGAGUGCAUGAAGCUGGAAUUACUAGUAAUCGUGGAUCAGCGUGCCACGGUGAAUGCGUUCCCGGGUCUUGUACACACCGC
rnacentral:rRNA from 1 species